ACGCUCGACACCUACGGGAGGCAGCAGUUAGGAAUAUUGGGCAAUGGAGGAAACUCUGACCCAGCAACGCCGCGUGAAGGAAGAAGGUUUUCGGAUUGUAAACUUCUGAUCUAGGGGAAGAAGGAAGUGACGGUACCCUAGGAGAAAGCCACGGCUAACUACGUGCAAGCAGCCGCGGUAAUCUGAGGCGGGCUGGCAAGGC
rnacentral:rRNA from 1 species